AAAUUGAAGAGUUUGAUCAUGGCUCAGAUUGAACGCUGGCGGCAGGCCUAACACAUGCAAGUCGAACGGUAACAGGAAGCAGCUUGCUGCUUUGCUGACGAGUGGCGGACGGGUGAGUAAUGUCUGGGAAACUGCCUGAUGGAGGGGGAUAACUACUGGAAACGGUGGCUAAUACCGCAUAACGUCGCAAGACCAAAGAGGGGGACCUUCGGGCCUCUUGCCAUCAGAUGUGCCCAGAUGGGAUUAGCUUGUUGGUGAGGUAACGGCUCACCAAGGCGACGAUCCCUAGCUGGUCUGAGAGGAUGACCAGCCACACUGGAACUGAGACACGGUCCAGACUCCUACGGGAGGCAGCAGUGGGGAAUAUUGCACAAUGGGCGCAAGCCUGAUGCAGCCAUGCCGCGUGUAUGAAGAAGGCCUUCGGGUUGUAAAGUACUUUCAGCGGGGAGGAAGGUGUUGUGGUUAAUAACCGCAGCAAUUGACGUUACCCGCAGAAGAAGCACCGGCUAACUCCGUGCCAGCAGCCGCGGUAAUACGGAGGGUGCAAGCGUUAAUCGGAAUUACUGGGCGUAAAGCGCACGCAGGCGGUCUGUCAAGUCGGAUGUGAAAUCCCCGGGCUCAACCUGGGAACUGCAUUCGAAACUGGCAGGCUUGAGUCUUGUAGAGGGGGGUAGAAUUCCAGGUGUAGCGGUGAAAUGCGUAGAGAUCUGGAGGAAUACCGGUGGCGAAGGCGGCCCCCUGGACAAAGACUGACGCUCAGGUGCGAAAGCGUGGGGAGCAAACAGGAUUAGAUACCCUGGUAGUCCACGCCGUAAACGAUGUCUACUUGGAGGUUGUGCCCUUGAGGCGUGGCUUCCGGAGCUAACGCGUUAAGUAGACCGCCUGGGGAGUACGGCCGCAAGGUUAAAACUCAAAUGAAUUGACGGGGGCCCGCACAAGCGGUGGAGCAUGUGGUUUAAUUCGAUGCAACGCGAAGAACCUUACCUGGUCUUGACAUCCACGGAAGUUUUCAGAGAUGAGAAUGUGCCUUCGGGAACCGUGAGACAGGUGCUGCAUGGCUGUCGUCAGCUCGUGUUGUGAAAUGUUGGGUUAAGUCCCGCAACGAGCGCAACCCUUAUCCUUUGUUGCCAGCGGUUAGGCCGGGAACUCAAAGGAGACUGCCAGUGAUAAACUGGAGGAAGGUGGGGAUGACGUCAAGUCAUCAUGGCCCUUACGACCAGGGCUACACACGUGCUACAAUGGCGCAUACAAAGAGAAGCGACCUCGCGAGAGCAAGCGGACCUCAUAAAGUGCGUCGUAGUCCGGAUUGGAGUCUGCAACUCGACUCCAUGAAGUCGGAAUCGCUAGUAAUCGUGGAUCAGAAUGCCACGGUGAAUACGUUCCCGGGCCUUGUACACACCGCCCGUCACACCAUGGGAGUGGGUUGCAAAAGAAGUAGGUAGCUUAACCUUCGGGAGGGCGCUUACCACUUUGUGAUUCAUGACUGGGGUGAAGUCGUAACAAGGUAACCGUAGGGGAACCUGCGGUUGGAUCACCUCCUUACCUGAAAGAA
rnacentral:rRNA from 1 species